rnacentral:misc_RNA from 1 species
AAAAGACUUGCACUAAUAUAAAUUGAAAUUUAAUAAUAAGUGACCGUUGAAAGGCAAUUAGAGUAUGUAGAAUUGUAUUGGCCAUUGUGGACUUCCCAAUUCCAUCAUAUGAAAAAAGGUGUGUAAUAUCCGGUGCUGUCUUGAAAAAGCUAGAUAUCCAUAACCAGGUGAAGAUGAAAACAAUACCAGAAAAGGGUUUCUGACCUUGAUUUCUCUUGGCUUAAAAACAAUGAGAUUGACUGGUUACCAAUGUUUAGGUUGUGUUAGGAUUAACAUCCAGGUCAAUCCAUACUUCCAUAGUAGGUGAAAGGUUUUCCAGCAUUGCCAUCUGCAAUCUUUCUGUGUCAUUUCUUUUUCCAUCUCCAUUUCAGCACAUUUGCCUCGAGAAAUCAGUGAAAAUUUGGGAAGAAAUUUGCCCAGACUUGCAUUUUAAGUUUCAUGUUAGCAUCUAGGCUAAAAGAACAGAAACAAUUGUUGGCCUCUGAGUACUUCUCAACUUGAAGAAACCACACCACUUAAUGUAAUCUUUGUUUGGGUUUGUUGCCAUAUAAUCCAAAUCCUUAAACAACACUUAACAACAUCAAUAAUCAUAUAGAUGAUAAUAGACUACAUACCAAUAUGUUUAAAAACCAGAAGAAACAAUUCAGAAACCAAUGCCGGGAUUAAUCAUUAGAAGGAACGUACCAUUGGCAUGAAGACUACGUGUCUCCCUCCAAUACAGCACCAAGCUUUUUUUUUUUACAGCUACCGUUCUUUUUUGCCUUCAACUCUAUAUAAUCUCUAUUUCUUUUGUUCUCAUUACUGCAAAAAUGGAUUCAAUGUUUUUGGUUUCCAUCUUGGCUUACCUCUGCUUUCCUUUAAUUAUUACUAAUGCUCAAGCACCAGCAGCAUCACCGGUGACUUUGCCUACUACACCUCCA